rnacentral:sRNA from 1 species
UCGUAUGCUUGCUGUGGGCAGAUGAGGUGAAUGUGCGUGUCAAAACCACCCGCCGUGAUAAUCUUGUGUUCGCCGGCUAUGACAUCGGUGCAGGCGCCAACAACCAAGUUGGGGUCCACGCCGUCCAUGACAUCGGGAUUGCCUGCUUUGCCAAUGCCAAUAAUCAUGCCGUCCUUGAUUCCAAUAUCAGCCUUGUAGAUUCCAGACCAGUCGACAAUCAGAGCAUUUGUAAUGACGGUAUCCAACGACUCCUUGUCUGAUCGGCCUCCAGCCUGGCCCAUGCCCUCUCGC